AUUGAACGCUGGCGGCAGGCCUAACACAUGCAAGUCGAGCGGAGCGGCGGACGGGUGAGUAAUGCCUAGGAAUCUGCCUGGUAGUGGGGGAUCACGUCCGGAAACGGGCGCUAAUACCGCAUACUCUCAGAUGAGCCUAGGUCGGAUUAGCGAGUUGUUGGGGUAAAGGCCUACCAAGGCGCCGAUCCGUAACUGGUCUGAGAGGAUGAUCAGUCACACGGGAACUGAGACAGGGUCCAGACUCCUACGGGAGGCAGAAGUGGGGAAUAUUGGACAAUGGGCGAAAGCCUGAGCCAGCAAGGCCGCGUGUGUGAAGAAGGUCUUCGGAGUGUAAAGCACUUUAAGUUGGGAGGCGUUACCAACAGAAUAAGCACCGGCUAACUUCGUGCCAGCAGCCGCGGUAAUUC
rnacentral:rRNA from 1 species